rnacentral:rRNA from 1 species
GGGUUGUGAGGUUAAGCGACUAAGCGUACACGGUGGAUGCCCUGGCAGUCAGAGGCGAUGAAGGACGUGCUAAUCUGCGAUAAGCGUCGGUAAGGUGAUAUGAACCGUUAUAACCGGCGAUUUCCGAAUGGGGAAACCCAGUGUGAUUCGUCACACUAUCAUUAACUGAAUCCAUAGGUUAAUGAGGCGAACCGGGGGAACUGAAACAUCUAAGUACCCCGAGGAAAAGAAAUCAACCGAGAUUCCCCCAGUAGCGGCGAGCGAACGGGGAGCAGCCCAGAGCCUGAAUCAGUGCGUGUGUUAGUGGAAGCGUCUGGAAAGGCGCGCGAUACAGGGUGACAGCCCCGUACACAAAAAUGCACAUGCUGUGAGCUCGAUGAGUAGGGCGGGACACGUGGUAUCCUGUCUGAAUAUGGGGGGACCAUCCUCCAAGGCUAAAUACUCCUGACUGACCGAUAGUGAACCAGUACCGUGAGGGAAAGGCGAAAAGAACCCCGGCGAGGGGAGUGAAAAAGAACCUGAAACCGUGUACGUACAAGCAGUGGGAGCACGCUUAGGCGUGUGACUGCGUACCUUUUGUAUAAUGGGUCAGCGACUUAUAUUCUGUAGCAAGGUUAACCGAAUAGGGGAGCCGAAGGGAAACCGAGUCUUAACUGGGCGUUAAGUUGCAGGGUAUAGACCCGAAACCCGGUGAUCUAGCCAUGGGCAGGUUGAAGGUUGGGUAACACUAACUGGAGGAC